rnacentral:rRNA from 1 species
AUUGAACGCUGGCGGCAGGCUUAACACAUGCAAGUCGAGCGGGGUGAUGGUGCUUGCACUAUCACUUAGCGGCGGACGGGUGAGUAAUGCUUAGGAAUCUGCCUAUUAGUGGGGGACAACAUCUCGAAAGGGAUGCUAAUACCGCAUACGUCCUACGGGAGAAAGCAGGGGAUCACUUGUGACCUUGCGCUAAUAGAUGAGCCUAGGUCGGAUUAGCUAGUUGGUGGGGUAAAGGCCUACCAAGGCGACGAUCUGUAGCGGGUCUGAGAGGAUGAUCCGCCACACUGGGACUGAGACACGGCCCAGACUCCUACGUGAGGCAGCAGUGGGUAAUGUUGGACAAUGGGGGGAACCCUAAUCCAGCCAUGCCUCGUGUGUGAAGAAGGCCUUAUGGUUGUAAAGCACUUUAAGCGAGGAGGAGGCUCUUUUGGUUAAUACCCAAGAUGAGUGGACGUUACUCGCAGAAUAAGCACCGGCUAACUCUGUGCCAGCAGCCGCAGUAA